rnacentral:rRNA from 1 species
AGCGAACGCUGGCGGCAGGCCUAACACAUGCAAGUCGAACGGAUCCUUCGGGAUUAGUGGCGGACGGGUGAGUAACACGUGGGAACGUGCCCUUUGGUUCGGAACAACUCAGGGAAGCUUGAGCUAAUACCGGAUGUGCCCUUCGGGGGAAAGAUUUAUCGCCAUUGGAGCGGCCCGCGUCUGAUUAGCUAGUUGGUGAGGUAACGGCCCACCAAGGCGACGAUCAGUAGCUGGUCUGAGAGGAUGAUCAGCCACACUGGGACUGAGACACGGCCCAGACUCCUACGGGAGGCAGCAGUGGGGAAUCUUGCGCAAUGGGCGAAAGCCUGACGCAGCCAUGCCGCGUGAAUGAUGAAGGUCUUAGGAUUGUAAAAUUCUUUCAGCGGGGACGAUAAUGACGGUACCCGCAGAAGAAGCUCCGGCUAACUUCGUG